UGAACGUACAAAAAGAAAAAGUACAUUUUUUCGACAGCAUUCCCUUCCACUCGAGUUGAUCACAUUUUUAAACAAACAUGAGUUAAACGUACGACCACAUUAGAUUAGGGCAAUUGUUUUUAUCCACGUUUGUAAAGGAAAUAUUUUAGAUAAUUCACGACUUUCUACAUGCUUAGAGUUAUGUUCUAAUAACAUGAAAGAAAUUUAUGACGCAGCCAAUUUCCAAUCCGUGACGUCCAACAUCAAGGGAUGGUCAAUGGACGGAAAAAAAAAAGAACUAUGCCAUCGUCAUGGUGGGUGAUUCACUUGAAUGAUUGUAAAAAUACAGCUUCAUUUUACUUUUGUCUAGCCUUUAUUUUUCUUCUAUUAAAAAAAAAUACUAAUUCAUUUGUUCAAGGUUUUCUACAUUUUCGUUUUGAGAAGCAAAAUAUACCUAUCUUAUAUUUGUACGAUAUACAAUUUGAUAAAUCUCUUCAAGCACAAGGUUAAUUGUUAUAAUCUUCAUUGUUUUCAUCCUUCACAUAAUAUUGUAGGAUUAGGACGAAUGUUUAUGCUAUAUUUAGAGAAAAUAGCUAAGGAGAAAAAACUUCAAAAAAUUAUCUGUACAGUUCAAACAAAUAAUGAAAAAGCAGUUAACUUUUACAAAAACAUUUGCGGAUAUACUGUAGAUCCUUCUUCUCCAGUGUCACUGGACAAUUCAAGUACUCGCGGUUAUGAAAUCUUAAGUAAAACGGUUCAUUAUUAAUUUCAAAAACCAAAUAGUUGAUUAAGGUUACUUCAUCAUUUGCUCAUAAAAAUAUUUACUGAGGAGAAAAAGACUUAUUUCAAAACACGCAAUACAAAAACACGUUUCUCUAUAAAACGUUUAAAACAUUUGCAGAAGUCUUUUUUCGAGAAAUCCUUUGAGUUACAUCAGAUUCAAGCGCGUCAAGACUUCGAUGUUUUUUACUUUCCAUAUAUCCUUCAAGUUGCUUCCAUUCUCUCUCGACUUGACGACGCACAGCGCGAGCGGACGGAACAUGCGUGUUAUUUCUUAAAAAAAAAAAAUUAAACGAAAGGAUUAUUGUUGAUUAUAAACUCUUACUUAUUUUUUGUUGAGUGUGAAGAAAAGGAAGACUAAAAAGGCAUAAAUUUUUUUCAAAAAAAUCAGUAGGAAAAUUCAAAAAGAACAUACCUUUUUUUCAUGUGCAAAAUUGGUUUCUUCUUUGGGGACCUGGUGCUUUUUUUUUACAUCGGAAUGAACGUGUGGAUUUGGAUAACAUUCAUCAUAAUAAUCAAUACGAGGUUGCAGCAUUUUUUGUACAAGCCUAGCUUCUUUUUGUUCAGAGGAAGUCGAGGCUUCACGAGCUUGAGUCGUUUUCAUUUGCUCUGAUAAUUUAUUGGCAGGUAAAGCUUCAAAAUAUGAUAAAGGCGCUGUUGUUAAUUGUUUCUGUUCCAAAGAAGAAGAUUCAAAUAACUCUUGUACGUUUUGGAAAGUUCCGACAUUAGCAAAAAUAUCCUCAUCUUCCGUUAUAAUUUGAGUUUCGUUUUCAGCAAGUGUACUGACUAAAGUUUCCAGAGUGCGUGACGAAUUCGGAACAAGAUAUUUUAUAAGGUGUGGCUGCAAAGGAAUCACGUUAUAAUGUAAAGAACUUUGAGACGUUGCUCCGUGUAUAAUGGAAAAAGGGAUACCAGGGGGAUCAUUGGUUAAAUUGAAUUGAUAGAAUAAUGUUCUGGAAGCAAAAACGUUGUUAUUGCCCUUAAACCGAGAACCGUGGUAUAGAACGGAAUCAAGACGUUGUAAUUUUUUUUCAAACGCAAUAUGAUGAGAAUGAAGUCCAUAUGUUAAAGAAUGAAGAAUUUGUUUACUCUGACCUGAAAAAGAUGUCUUUUUUUCUUCUUCUUUUUUUUGAAUAUCCAUUGUAGCUUUUUUUAAUAAAACAUAAUCUAGACCUUUAACUAAAUGUGUGUGCUCAAUAUCACCGCCAAGAUAUUGGGAUUCUUGUGGAGUACAAUUUUUUUGACGA